UACGAAGGGUGCAAGCGUUACUCGGAAUUACUGGGCGUAAAGCGCACGUAGGCGGAUGUGUCAGUCAGGGGUGAAAUCCCGGAGCUCAACUUCGGAACUGCCUUUGAUACAGCACAUCUCGAGUCCGGGAGAGGUGAGUGGAACUGCGAGUGUAGAGGUGAAAUUCGUAGAUAUUGGGAAGAACACCAGUGGCGAAGGCGGCUCACUGGCCCGUAACUGACGCUGAGGUGCGAAAGCGUGGGGAGCAACAGG
rnacentral:rRNA from 1 species